rnacentral:lncRNA from 11 species
AAACCAUCUCCCUUUUCCCUGAAGGACAUGGAAGCGGGUGGAAGAGACGGGCGAGUGUCCUGUCCAAAGAGGUCAUCGCCCGAUUGUCCCAAAGGGAGAAGCGAAGAGGGCCGUGGUCAGUGUUAAUGAAUGGCCAGAGGCAGGGAGGGACUGGGAGGCUUGGUGCCCUUCCCAGAGAGAGAGAGUCUUGGGUUCGGGUCUGUCCGGAGCCUCCUUUCGUGCAGCCAUGAAGCUCCUGGUUGUGCUCUUGGCUUUGACUGCGGUCACAGGAGGCCAAGCCGUGACCAUCAGAGAAGCGCCCAGUUCAGAGCCCAAGUUAAGACCGUUGAUGGAAAAAACUUUCUCAUUCGGGAUGGAUUGCUUCCUUGCCGUGUCCAGGAAAGUAGUGAAAAUCAUCGAAGCUUCGGAUAUCACGGUUGUCAUUGAACAGCUGGACAAAAUCUCUGAAAAACUCCAGGAGGAAGAGAAAGUGCUUCCUCCAGAGAUUGGGCAAGUGGAUAAGAUCUUAUCCGAUCUCUCUAAAACCUACAAGGUGAAGACUCCUCGGGUUUUUGAUGAGUGGAACAGACGCCAUGUUCAGGAAGGUGAAGCUGUCAUGAAGGCGCUGGAGUUCUACGUUGACCCAGUGGCCUCCAAGGUGCUGUGGUGUGUGGAGUGGCUGGAGGAGAACAUCACGCCCGUGGUGAUCCAAAUGUACCAGCCGUUUGAUAGCUCCUUCAAUCAGGCACUGGAGUCCCUGGGAAGCACGCUGUCCUUUUACACCGAGGAGCAGGAACAAAUUGGGGAAAUCCUCCAGACUUCGCUCGAGGAAGCGGCCAAGCUGUUCCGGAUGGGGAUGGAGAACCUCAACAAGCAGUUGAAUCCCUACUUGAUCCCAUUCCUGAAGGAGUACAAGAAGUACGAGCCAGCGCUCAGAGAGUGGCUGGAAGCACCGUUGUUCCCCCCUCCGAAAGAGGACUAACGCCCAAAAGGAAAAUCCUAGGGGAAACUGGCCAGGAAGUGACCAUCGGGUCAAGCAAUAUGGCUGUCUCUGCAUCACAAAAUAAAUUUUCCCAUUUAUUCUGGAGGUUUUAAUACCUGUCAAAGUUUAUGAAAUGUGCUGCACUAUUCUGUACGCGUUAUGUCAGUUCUUUCUAGCAAUUACGCUGUCCUAUCGUCCACCUGGCCAGAUGAAUAAAACUUCUGUUACUGCCUUAAAACCAAGUCAUGUUUCUCCAUGUUUCUACACUGCCCCCUGGUGGCAGAUAGGCUGAUUUUGACAACACGCAGGCUAAACAUCCCCAGCUCUUUAAGCUUCAAGAGUUCAGAAUGUUUAGCCUGCAUGUUACCGAAAACAGAGGGAUUCACUGGAUCCUUUGAGUCGCUCUCCUCUGGACAUCUUCCAGCUUAGAGUCAAUAUUCCUCUUAACAUGUGGUGCCCAGAACUGCACACAGAGUUAUUCCAGGUAAGGUUUGACCAAAGCAGGACAGAAGGACGGCAUGAUGUCCAUUGAUCUAGACCAUGAUUCCCAAAGUGGGUGCUACCGCCCCCUAGUGGGUGCUGGAGGGCGGUGAUGGCACUUAUUAGGACAUGGGGGCGGGGCCAGAGGAAGAGCAGGGCCUCUUCCAAGUGCUGGAGACAGGGCUGAGCACCUGAGGCACCUGUUAGGACACACAGGGGGUGGAGCUUGAGAAGUGGGCGUGGCUUCUUCCCAAGAGCCCAAGACAGGGCUGAGCAUCUAUACCUCUCCUGAGACGCUUGUUGGGACAUAGAGGCGGAGCUAGGGAAGGGGGGCGGGGCCUCCUUUCCAAGAGCCCGAGACAGGGCUGAGCCUCGAUACCUCUCCUGAGAGGCCUUUUAGGGACUAAAGGGCGGGGCUAGGGGCGGGGCCUCUUUCCAAGAGCCUCUGUAUACUUCCCCUGAGGCGCUUGUUAGAACACGGGUGGUGGGGUAUAGAGGUUCAGCCCCGUCAGGCACUUGGGAAGAGGCUCCGCCCCCUCCUCUAGCCCCGCCCCCUGUGUCCUGGCAGGCGCUGCAGGACACGGAUAGAAGCUCAGCCCUGUCUCAGAGCUCGUAACUCCGCCCAUCCCAGUCCUGGCCACCCAUUUGUGGCCCGGCCCACCUCCCCUCGCAGCCCUGUAUCUUGGACUAGAGAAGAGGCUCAGCCCCACCCUCUUGAGCAGGAGCCACGCCCACCCCUCUAAGCCACGCCCACCUUUCCGGGGGGGGGGGGAGGCUGGGUAGUAUUUUUUCUGGAAAGCAGGCAGCAGGCCAAAUAAGUUUGGGAACCACUGAUCUAAGUCGUGAAUAAAGAAUUUGAGCAGCACUGGGCCUCGGACAGAACUUGCAUUCAUUUAGAGCGGCCAGGUUUUCCUGGUCUACCUCUUGACCUAGUUCAGGUUGUAUUUCUACUGUGACAUCAUCCGAUCCGUAUUGCUCAGGAUGAACAUCGAUCUUAGCUUUCCAAAACCUGGAUCCCUAGUGAUGCAUCUCUAAAGUUGGGAUUUCUUUUCUAUCGUAAGCUGUAUAUUUCCCGCUUCCUUGCAAUGAAUCCCUAUGAAUUUGGAGAGUGAUCUGUGGCUUGUUUUUCAUCCUUUGCCACGUAAAUAAUGGGUCGUCCGAUGCGAACGUGACUCCAGGUCAUUUCGGAACGAGUACAAAACCAUCUUUCCCAAAGGACAUUGAAGCGGAUGGAAGAGACGGGCGAGUGUCCCGUCCAAAAAGGUCAUCGCCCGAUUGUCCCAAAGGGAGAAGUGAAGAGGGCCGUGGUCAGUGUUAAUGAAUGGCCAGAGGCAGGGAGGGACUGGGAGGCUUGGUGCCUUUCCCAGAGAGAGAGAGUCUUGGGUUCGAGUCUGUCCGGAGCCUCCUUUCGUGCAGCCAUGAAGCUCCUGGUUGUGCUCUUGGCUUUGACUGCGGUCACAGGUGAGUCCCGCUUCUGCACCAAAACAUCAUGUAGUAGUUCAAUAUGCAGUAAUGCUACGUAGUCGUUCA